rnacentral:hammerhead_ribozyme from 1 species
AUCCGGAUAACGAGUUCAAAACAGAACGAAAUACGCGUCAUGGAU